GGAGAUGUAGCUUAGUAGUAGAACACUUGUCUAGCAUGUGUAAGGCCCUGGGUUCAAUUUCUAGUAUUUCCA
rnacentral:tRNA from 1 species